rnacentral:rRNA from 1 species
AGUGAACGCUGGCGGCGUGCCUAAUACAUGCAAGUCGAACGGAGUGGCGCACGGGUGAGUAAUGUAUAGCUAAUCUGCCCUCCACUAGAGGACAACAGUUGGAAACGGCUGCUAAUACUCUAUAGUGUAGGUGGAGGCUUUAUUUUAUCAGCUAGUUGGUGAGGUAAUGGCUCCCCAAGGCUAUGACGCAUAACUGGUCUGAGAGGAUGGUCAGUCACACUUUAACUGAGACACGUUCCGGACUCCUACCGGAUGCAGCAGUAGGGAAUAUUGCUCAAUGGGGGAAACCCUGAAGCAGCAACGCCGCGUGGAGGAUUACCCUUUUCGGAGCGUAAACUCCUUUUGUUAGGGAAGCGGUACCUAACGAAUAAGCACCGGCUAACUCCGUGCCAGCCGCCGCGGUAAUUC